GUUCUCAGUUCGGAUCGGAGUCUGCAACCCGACUCCGUGAAGCUGGAUUCGCUAGUAAUCGCGCAUCAGCCAUGGCGCGGUGAAUACGUUCCCGGGCCUUGUACACACCGCCCGUCAAGCCAUGGGAGCCGGGGGUGCUUGAAGUGCGUCGCCGCAAGGCGCGCCCUAGAGCAAAACCGGUGACUGGGGCUAAGUCGUAACAAGGUACC
rnacentral:rRNA from 1 species